CGCCUCUUGCUACACAUAGUAUAAGAGGUACCGCCUGCCCAGUGAUCCAUUUUAACGGCCGCGGUAUUAUGACCGUGCAAAGGUAGCGUAAUCACUUGUCUUUUAAAUAAAGACCCGUAUGAAAGGCAAAACGAAAGUUCAACUGUCUCUUUAGUCUGGUCAGUGAAAUUAAUUUUCCCGUGCAGAAGCGGAAAUGGUCCUAUAAGACGAGAAGACCCUAUGGAGCUUUAAAUAAAAAUUAACCAUGCUUUCAUUACCAGCCAAUAGGUAAAAAAUAAAAAUGUAUGGCCAUAAUUUAAGUUUUUGGUUGGGGCGACCGCGGAAGAAAACUCAUCCUCCGCAAUAGAAAAUUUAGAACAACCGUUCAAGACUUAAAACAUUUGUUAUAAAAUGAUCCACUAAGUGAGCAACGAACCAAGUUACCCUAGGGAUAACAGCGCAAUCCUCUCUAAGAGUUCAUAUCGACGAGUGGGUUUACGACCUCGAUGUUGGAUCAGGACACCCAAAUGGUGCAGCCGCUAUUAAAGGUUCGUUUGUUCAACGAUUAAAGUCCUACG
rnacentral:rRNA from 1 species